rnacentral:tRNA from 1 species
ACACCGUUGGUGAAGUGGUUAUCAUGCUUGCCUUCCAUCCUGAGCUCAGGUAGAUUACACAUCCAGCAAGCGGCUCGGGUUCGAUUCCCGAACGGUGUA